rnacentral:rRNA from 1 species
UAAGCAUAUCAAUAAGCGGAGGAAAAGAAACUAACAAGGAUUCCCCUAGUAACUGCGAGUGAAGCGGGAAAAGCUCAAAUUUGAAAUCUGGCAGUUUGUUGAACUGUCCGAGUUGUAAUCUAGAGAAGUGUUUACCUGUGCUGGACCAUGUACAAGUCUCCUGGAAUGGAAGCAUCACAGAGGGUGAGAAUCCCGUCUUUGACAUGGACUGCCUGCACAUUGUGGUGCGCUCUCGAGGAGUCGAGUUGUUUGGGAAUGCAGCUCAAAAUGGGUGGUAAAUGCCAUCUAAAGCUAAAUAUUGGCGAGAGACCGAUAGCGAACAAGUACCGUGAGGGAAAGAUGAAAAGAACUUUGGAAAGAGAGUUAAACAGUACGUGAAAUUGCUGAAAGGGAAACGCUUGAAGUCAGUCGCGUCGGCUAGAAAUCAGCCUUGCUUUUGCUUGGUGUAUUUUCUGGUUUUUGAUGGGUCAGCAUCAAUUUUGACCAUUGGAUAAAGUCGUUGGGAAUGUGGCAUCUUAGGAUGUGUUAUAGCCCAUUGUCGUAUACAGUGGUUGGGAUUGAGGAACUCAGCACGCCGCAAGGCCGGGUUUCGACCACGUUCGUGCUUAGGAUGCUGGCAUAAUGGCUUUAAUCGACCCGUCUUGAAACACGGACCAAGGAGUCUAACAUGCCUGCGAGUGUUUGGGUGGAAAACCCAUGCGCGCAAUGAAAGUGAAAGUUGAGAUCCUCUUUGAGGAGCAUUGACGCCCGGACUAGAUCUUUUGUGACGGAUCCGCGGUAGAGCAUGUAUGUUGGGACCCGAAAGAUGGUGAACUAUGCCUGAAUAGGGUGAAGCCAGAGGAAACUCUGGUGGAGGCUCGUAGCGAUUCUGACGUGCAAAUCGAUCGUCAAAUUUGGGUAUAGGGGCGAAAGACUAAU